rnacentral:tRNA from 1 species
GGUGGUUAAGUGGUAGAAUGCUUGCCUUGAAUGCAUGAGGCCCUGAGUUCAAUUCCUCAGCACCA